GAGUUUGAUCCUGGCUCAGGAUGAACGCCGGCGGUGUGCCUAAUACAUGCAAGUCGUACGCACUGGCCCAACUGAUUGAUGGUGCUUGCACCUGAUCGACGAUGGAUCACCAGUGAGUGGCGGACGGGUGAGUAACACGUAGGUAACCUGCCCUGUACAGGGGGAUAACAAUCAGAAAUGACUGCUAAUACCGCAUAAGACCACAGCACCGCAUGGUGCAGGGGUAAAAAACUCCGGUGGUACAGGAUGGACCCGCGUCUGAUUAGCUGGUUGGUGAGGUAACGGCUCACCAAGGCGACGAUCAGUAGCCGGCUUGAGAGAGUGAACGGCCACAUUGGGACUGAGACACGGCCCAAACCUCCUACGGGAGGCAGCAGUGGGGAAUAUUGCACAAUGGGGGAAACCCGU
rnacentral:rRNA from 1 species